CCACUGGUCCUGCUCUGUUUGUCGGCAAGAAUGAGCCGCUGGGAGGAGGAAUGUUUCCCAGACGGGGGGUGAGGAGCCAUUUGGAUGUAGCAGCAAAGUAUGAACUCCUGAAGGAGAAAAAGAUAAAAGAGGGGAGCAAAGUGAUGGAGGUAUCACUCUCUCUGUGGAUGGCCAGCAGUUUCUGCUCUGUCUGCAAAACAUUUCCACAUCUUCCACAUGAUCUUCCUAAGGAACACUCAACCCAGUGUGUUUUGAUGGAAAUAUCUGAGCACUCUGCAGUGGGAGAAGUGAGAGAAACUAUGCUACAUCCUGCAAGACUGGACUGGAGGAAGUUUGAGCCUUCUCAGUGAUCUUAAGCUUUUCUGCCUUGAGGGACUGGUGGAAGAAGGUUAGGAAAAUCAUCAGUUCAGAAAAGAUUCCUCCAGAUGUGAAGUCUGAUAUCAGUCAGCUUCAGAGAAAUAGCAGCAGCUGAGCUGAGGACCUGCAAGCGUCAGCCCCAGGCAUGGUUCCUCGGCCAACGGGGAAGCACCUUGCCCUCCCCUCUCGCUGCCCGGUUUCUGUGCCUCAGCUCCUGCUCCAUCUGGCCAGACGUGAGCGGUGGGAUUUGGGUCCAGGCUGUCUUCGUGUCACCGUGUGGGGACAGGCAGAGCCGCCUGCGCUGCCCCCCGCA